UACGGGGAGGGCAAGCGUUGUUCGGAAUUACUGGGCGUAAAGGGUGCGCAGGCGGUUGUGCAAGACAGGUGUGAAAUCCCCGGGCUUAACCUGGGAACUGCACUUGUGACUGCAUAGCUGGAGUACGGCAGAGGGGGAUGGAAUUCCGCGUGUAGCAGUGAAAUGCGUAGAUAUGCGGAGGAACACCGAUGGCGAAGGCAGUCCCCUGGGCCUGUACUGACGCUCAUGCACGAAAGCGUGGGGAGCAAACAGG
rnacentral:rRNA from 1 species